rnacentral:rRNA from 1 species
UACGUAGGUGGCAAGCGUUGUCCGGAUUUACUGGGCGUAAAGAGCGCGCAGGCGGCUGGUCAAGUCCGAUGUGAAAUCUCCCGGCUUAACUGGGAAACUGCAUCGGAAACUGAUCGGCUUGAAGGUGGGAGAGGGUAGUGGAAUUCCCGGUGUAGUGGUGAAAUGCGUAGAUAUCGGGGAGGAACACCGGUGGCGAAGGCGGUUCUCUGGGCCUGUACUGACGCUGAGGAGCGAAAGCGUGGGGAGCAAACAGG